UACGGGGGGGGCAAGCGUUGUUCGGAAUUACUGGGCGUAAAGGGCUCGUAGGUGGCCAACUAAGUCAGACGUGAAAUCCCUCGGCUUAACCGGGGAACUGCGUCUGAUACUGGAUGGCUUGAGUUUGGGAGAGGGACGCGGAAUUCCAGGUGUAGCGGUGAAAUGCGUAGAUAUCUGCAGGAACACCCGUGGCGAAGGCGGCUCGCUGGACCGCAACUGACGCUGAGGAACGAAAGCUAGGGGAGCAAACAGG
rnacentral:rRNA from 1 species